CACGUAGGGGACGAGCGUUGUCCGGAAUCAUUGGGCGUAAAGGGCGCGUAGGUGGCCCGGUCAGUUCGUGGUGAAAGCGCGGGGCUCAACCCUGCGUCGGCCAUGAAUACUGCCGCGGCUGGAGCACUGUAGAGGCAGGCGGAAUUCCGGGUGUAGCGGUGGAAUGCGUAGAGAUCCGGAAGAACACCGGUGGCGAAGGCGGCCUGCUGGGCAGUUGCUGACACUGAGGCGCGACAGCGUGGGGAGCAAACAGG
rnacentral:rRNA from 1 species